GCUGGGAUAGCUCAGGUGGUAGAGCAGGAGACCUUUAAUCUCAGGGUCAAGGGUUCGAGCCCCACGUUGGGCA